GGGGUUGUGGCUCAGUGGUUGAGCACUUGCCUAGCACAUGCAAGGCCCUGGGUUUGAUCCUCAGCACCACA
rnacentral:tRNA from 1 species